GAGUUUGAUCAUGGCUCAGAGCGAACGCUGGCGGCGUGCCUAACACAUGCAAGUCGAACGUGAAAUGGGGCAACCCAGAGUAAAGUGGCGUACGGGUGAGUAACACGUAGGUAAUCUACCCUAGAGUCUGGAAUAACCUGCCGAAAGGCGGGCUAAUACUGGAUAGAGCGACGGAAUCCGUAAUUGGGUUUUUCGGGAAAGGGAGCGAGCAAUCGCCUUCGCUUUAGGAUGAGCCUGCGUCCCAUUAGGUAGUUGGCGGGGUAAUGGCCCACCAAGCCUGUGAUGGGUAGCUGGUCUGAGAGGAUGAUCAGCCACACUGGAACUGAAACACGGUCCAGACUCCUACGGGAGGCAGCAGUGGGGAAUCUUGCGCAAUGGACGAAAGUCUGACGCAGCCACGCCGCGUGAGUGAAGAAGGCCUCGGUU
rnacentral:rRNA from 1 species